AGCUGGCUGACUUGUCCCAAAUAGGACGGAACGCGCGUCCUGAGU
rfam:Schistosoma mansoni strain Puerto Rico chromosome 1, complete genome